AGUGAACGCUGGCGGUAGGCCUAACACAUGCAAGUCGAACGGCAGCACAGUAAGAGCUUGCUCUUACGGGUGGCGAGUGGCGGACGGGUGAGGAAUACAUCGGAAUCUACUUUUUCGUGGGGGAUAACGUAGGGAAACUUACGCUACUACCGCAUACGACCUACGGGUGAAAGCAGGGGAUCUUCGGACCUUGCGCGAUUGAAUGAGCCGAUGUCGGAUUAGCUAGUUGGCGGGGUAAAGGCCCACCAAGACGACGAUCCGUAGCUGGUCUGAGAGGAUGAUCAGCCACACUGGAACUGAGACACGGUCCAGACUCCUACGGGAGGCAGCAGUGGGGAAUAUUGGACAAUGGGCGCAAGCCUGAUCCAGCCAUACCGCGUGGGUGAAGAAGGCCUUCGGGUUGUAAAGCCCUUUUGUUGGGAAAGAAAAGCAGCAGGUUAAUACCCCGCUGUUCUGACGGUACCCAAAGAAUAAGCACCGGCUAACUUCGUG
rnacentral:rRNA from 1 species